UACGUAGGGUGCGAGCGUUAAUCGGAAUUACUGGGCGUAAAGCGUGCGCAGGCGGUUUUGUAAGCCAGAUGUGAAAUCCCCGGGCUUAACCUGGGAAUGGCAUUUGGGACUGCAAGGCUUGAGUUUGGCAGAGGAGACUGGAAUUCCUGGUGUAGCAGUGAAAUGCGUAGAUAUCAGGAGGAAUAUCGAUGGCGAAGGCAGGUCUCUGGGCUAGAACUGACGCUCAUGCACGAAAGCGUGGGGAGCAAACAGG
rnacentral:rRNA from 1 species